UUUUUUGUUCUUUUAGGAUUUCGGAAAGAAAAAAAAAAUAAUAUCAAAGAAACGACCACUUUAUGUAUUAUAAUACAAAUGUAAUAUAUGUAGUGGAAAGUGCAGUCCACUAAAGCUACGUCACUUUUUAUGGCAAAUAUCAUCUGAGUGUGUCGGUAUCGGAGAACUUACGAAAAAGAGGUAUACUUUGUGACAAGGGUUAUGUUAAGUGUGGUGCUCCAAAGGAAACAAUCAAUCACACACUUUUUCAAUGCUAUCCUGCAAAGCAGAUUUGGGCCCUUUCUCAAAUUCCAUCGGCAUCAGGAAUUUUUCCUACAAAUUCAAUUUUUACGAAUUUGGAUCAUUUCUUUUGGAGAAUUCCUUCAGGCAUCGAUUCGGUUCUUUAUCCAUGGAUAAUUUGGUAUAUCUCGAAAGCAAGAAAUGAAAAAGUAUUUGAAAAUGUGGAUAAAGAUCCGAAGGAGAUUUUGCUUUUAGCGGAAAAAGAUGUCCAAUUGUGGCAGGAGGCUCAAGUUGAGUUUCAUACUGAAAGUCAUGGUUCUUUGAAUUUAGAAACUCCAAUUCGGGUUAGGGAUUUAUCACAAGAUUCACCUUUUUCUGGAUUUUGGUGUUUUAUUGAUAGAUCUUGGAAAGCAAGUGAUCAGUUCUCAGGAACAGGAUGGUUCUGUCUAUCAUCUCUUGGAGAGUCGCCAACAAUGGGAGCCACUAACGUUCGUAGAAGUCUUUCCCCCCUACAUACCGAAGUGGAAGCUCUUCUUUGGGCGAUGAAGUGUAUAAAUGGAGCAGAUAACCAGGACGUAGCUUUUUUUACAGACUGUUCAGACUUGGUGAAGAUGGUGUCUUCCCCAACCGAAUGGCCGACAUUUUCAGUGUAUUUAGAGGAGUUGCAGAACAACAGGGAAGAAUUCACAAAUUUUUCUUUAUCUUUAAUUUCUCGUAGUGCAAAUGUAAACACGGAUAAAUUGGCACGAAAAAUUCGUACCGAAUCACAUCAUGUCACAUAUGUAAACAAUAUCCCUCGGGAUUGGUUCUUUUGAGUUCUAAUCUAUAUCGGUUGACAAAAAAAA
rnacentral:sRNA from 1 species